rnacentral:rRNA from 1 species
GAUGAACGCUGGCGGCGUGCCUAAUACAUGCAAGUCGAGCGAACAGAUAAGGAGCUUGCUCCUUUGACGUUAGCGGCGGACGGGUGAGUAACACGUGGGUAACCUACCUAUAAGACUGGGAUAACUUCGGGAAACCGGAGCUAAUACCGGAUAAUAUUUCGAACCGCAUGGUUCGAUAGUGGAAGAUGGUUUUGCUAUCACUUAUAGAUGGACCCGCGCCGUAUUAGCUAGUUGGUAAGGUAACGGCUUACCAAGGCGACGAUACGUAGCCGACCUGAGAGGGUGAUAGGCCACACUGGAACGGAGACAGGGUCCAGACUCCUACGGGAGGCAGCAGUAGGGAAUCUUCCGCAAUGGGCGAAAGCCUGACGGAGCAACGCCGCGUGAGUGAUGAAGGUCUUCGGAUCGUAAAACUCUGUUAUUAGGGAAGAACAUAAGUGUAAGUAACUGUGCACGUCUUGACGGUACCUAAUCAGAAAGCCACGGCUAACUACGUG